UAAUUACUUCCUACGUCCAACAAAAGAUGUCUCAAGUUUGUCAAAAUUUUGAUGUAUCUAGACAUGAUUUGGUGCAUAGAUGCAUUCAAAUUUAGUCAAAAUUGAGACAUUCUUUGUUGGAUGGAGAAAGCCUCAG
rnacentral:pre_miRNA from 1 species